GCCAACCCAGCCAAGUGUGCUAUAGGGCUAGCUGAGGCUAAAUACCUUGGCUACAUUGUAGGAAGGGGUAUGGUCAAGCCCCAACUAAACAAACUAGAGGCAAUCCAAAAUUGGCCCCGGCUGAAUCAGAAAAAGCAAGUCUGGGCAUUCCUAGGUCUGGUGGGGUACUACCGAUGAUUUAUUCUCCAUUUUGCUACCAGAGCGAGUCCCGUGACAGACCUGAUAAAAGCCUCUAUUUCCACUUAAAA